rnacentral:rRNA from 1 species
GUCUAUGGCCAUACCACUCUGAACGUCCCCGAUCUUGUCUGAUCUCAGAAGCUAAGCAGGGUCGGGCCUGGUUAGUCCUCAGAUGGGAGACUGCCUGGGAAUACCGGGUGCUGUAGGCU